AACGAACGCUGGCGGCAUGCCUAACACAUGCAAGUCGAACGAGACCUUCGGGUCUAGUGGCGCACGGGUGCGUAACGCGUGGGAAUCUGCCCUUCGGUUGGGAAUAUCUGAGAGAAAUUUCAGCUAAUACCUUAUAAUGUCUUCGGACCAAAGAUUUAUCGCCGAGGGAUGAGCCCGCGUAGGAUUAGGUAGUUGGUGGGGUAAUGGCCUACCAAGCCGACGAUCCUUAGCUGGUCUGAGAGGAUGAUCAGCCACACUGGGACUGAGACACGGCCCAGACUCCUACGGGAGGCAGCAGUGGGGAAUAUUGGACAAUGGGCGAAAGCCUGAUCCAGCAACGCCGCGUGAGUGAUGAAGGCCUUAGGGUUGUAAAGCUCUUUUACUCGGGAUGAUAAUGACAGUACCGGGAGAAUAAGCUCCGGCUAACUCCGUGCCAGCAGCCGCCGUAA
rnacentral:rRNA from 1 species